UGGGGAAUCUUGGACAAUGGGCGCAAGCCUGAUCCAGCCAUGCCGCGUGCAGGAAGAAGGCGUUAUGCGUUGUAAACUGCUUUUGUAAGGGGAUAAAAAGACCGUGCGCGGUUAAUUGAAGGUACCUGGUGAAUAAGCCACGGCUAACUACGUGCCAGCAGCCGCGGUAAUACGUAGGUGGCAAGCGUUGUCCGGAUUUAUUGGGUUUAAAGGGUGCGUAGGUGGCCCUGUAAGUCAGUGGUGAAAUAUCUCAGCUUUAACUGAGAGGGUGCCAUUGAUACUGCAGGGCUUGAGUACAGAUGAGGUAGGCGGAAUUGACGGUGUAGCGGUGAAGUGCAUAGAUAUCGUCAAGAACACCGAUAGCGAAGGCAGCUUACCAAGCUGUAACUGACACUGAGCACGAAAGUGUGGGGAUCAAACGGGAUUAGAUACCCCGGUAGUCCCUGAGCGGGCUGGCAAGGCGCAU
rnacentral:rRNA from 1 species